UGUGUUGUGGACCUGAGCUUA
rnacentral:piRNA from 1 species